rnacentral:rRNA from 1 species
AGCAGCCGCGGUAAUUCCAGCUCCAAUAGCGUAUAUUAAAGUUGUUGCAGUUAAAAAGCUCGUAGUUGAAUUUCGGGAUCAAUUUGCUGGUCGUGCCUCUGGUACGUACUGGUAUUAUUGGUUUCUCCCUUCUGACGAACCAUGAUGUCAUUAAUUUGAUGUCGUGGAGAAUCAGGACUGUUACUUUGAAAAAUUAGAGUGUUUAAAGCAGGCAUUAGCUUGAAUACAUUAGCAUGGAAUAAUGAAAUAGGACGUUUGAUCCUAUUUUGUUGGUUUCUAGGAUUGACGUAAUGAUUAAUAGGGAUAGUUGGGGGCAUUAGUAUUCAAUUGUCAGAGGUUGAAAUUCUUGGGAUUUUUAUUGAAGACUAACUACUGCGAAAAG